rnacentral:lncRNA from 1 species
GGGCGAUGCUCCCCGGGUAGGACAAACCGGUCACCUGGGCUGCGAGGGCGGCUUAGGGGCAGAAGCGGCGGUCCAGGGCCGCCUGGCGCAGCAGCCUGUCCCAGCCGCGGUCCCUGCAGUCCCUCCCUGGCGGCUGCGCAGCCGUCCCACGACAGGGGCCAUAAACUCUCCAGAGCGGAAAGCCGCACCCUGGUGGCCCGGCCCCGCGCCCAGACCUGGCGGCCGCUGGCACCUGACCCGCUGCAUGGGUCUCCAGGGAGCUCGCUGCCCACCCGGCGCUGCAGGCUCGGCUCCCUCGUACACUCUCUGGCAAGCCCAAGAAAGUCAGGGGCCUAUGUGAGCCAAAGAGGAGAGAAGGUGAUGCCUCAGCCCAGUGUUUCUGCCCCACCUCGCUUGUGGCCUUCGGAACUUGAUUUGCACCGCAGGAAAAUGGGCAAUGAAAACCCCUCCCUAACUGGCUUCUCAGUCCACUCUGACCAGCCCACUGCACAGCGCCCACCCUGCAGCUCCAGAUGAGGCCUCACUCUGUCACCCAGGUUGGGGUGGAGUGGCACAGUCACAGCUCACUAUAACCUCAAGCUCCUGGGCUCAAGUGAUCCUGCCACCUCAGCCUCCUAAGUAGCUGGAACUACAGAUGUGCACUGCCAUGCCAGGCUUGUCUAACAUUUUUAUGUGUUGCUUCAUCCAGUUUGCUAGAGUUUUUGGAGAUUUCUGUCUUCAUUCAUGAGGGAUAAUAGUCUGCACUUUUAUUUUCUUGUGAUACUUUUGUCUGAUUUGUUAUCUGGGUAAUACUGGCCUUGAAAAUGAAUUGAUGUUUUCCUGCUUC